ACUAUCUUACUUUUAGCUCAUCGGGAGGCUCAAUGGAAUGGAUAGAAGAAGAAGAUGAGGCUAAUUGGAUGUGUGUCAUCAACUCACAAUGGGAAGAAUGAGAACAAUUGCGAAACAG
ensembl:ncRNA F32A7.9 ncRNA